GGUUCGAUCCUGGCUCAGAUUGAACGCUGGCGGGAUGCUUUACACAUGCAAGUCGAACGGCAGACGGACUUCGGUCUGGUGGCGAGUGGCGAACGGGUGAGUAAUGUAUCGGAACGUGCCUAGUAGCGGGGAUAACUACGCGAAAGCGCGUAGCUAAUACCGCAUACGGCCCUUCGGGGAAAGCGGGGACCUUCGGGCCUCGCACCAUUAGAGCGGCCGAUAUCGGAUUACUAGUUGGUGGGGCAAUUCGGCUCACCAAGGCGACGAUCCUGUAGCUGGUUUGAGAGGACGACCAGCCACACCGGGACUGAGACACGGCCCAGACUCACGGAGGCAGCAGUGUGAAUUUUGGACAAUGGGGGAAACCGAUCCGUUAUCCGCGUGUGCGAUGCAUGGCCUCUCGCUGUAAAAGACUUUUUGGCAGGAAAGAAACGGCAGGGACAGAUAAUACCCUGCAACUGACGGUACCUGCAGAAUAAGCACCGGCCAACUACGCGCCAGCAGCCGCGGUAAUACGUAGGGCAGUAAGCGUUAAUCGGAAUUACUGGGCGUAAAGCGUGCGCAGGCGGUUCGGAAAGAAAGAUGUGAAAUCCUCAGAGCUUAACUUUGGAACUGCAUUUUUAACUACCGAGCUAGAGUGUGUCAGAGAGGGAGGUGGGAAUUCCGCGUAGCAGUGAAUGCGCAGAUAUGCGGAGGAACACCGAUGGCGAAGGCAGCCUCCUGGGAUAACACUGACGCUCAUGCACGAAAGCGUGGGAGCAAACAGAUUAGAUACCCUGGUAGCCCACGCCCUAAACGAUGUCAAUCUCAAAGGUUGGGGCCUUCGCCUUGGUAGCGCAGCUUAAUCGCAGGAAGUUGGAACGCCUGGGGAGUACGGUCGCAAGAUUAAAACUCAAAGGAAUUGACGGGGACCCGCACAAGCGGUGGAUGAUGUGGAUUAAUUCGAUGCAACGCGAAAACCUGACCGUCUGACAUGUCUGGAAUCCCGAAGAGAUUUGGGAGUGCUCGCAAGAGAACCGGAACACAGGUGCUGCAUGGCUGUCGUCAGCUCGUGUCGUGAGAUGCUGGGUUAAGUCCCGCAACGAGCGCAACCCUCAUUACCAGUUGCUACGAAAGGGCACUCUAAUGAGACUGCCGGUGACAAACCGAGGAAGGGGCAUGACGUCAAGUCCUCAUGACCCUUAUGGGUAGGGCUCACAUCGGUCAGCAAUGGUCGGGACAGAGGGUCGCCAACCUGCGAGGGGGAGCCAAUCCCAGAAACCCGAUCGUAGUCCGGAUCGCAGUCUGCAACUCGACUGUGGAAGUCGGAAACUGGCAAUCGCGGAUCAGCAGUGUCGCGGUGAAUACGUUCCCGGUCUUGUACACACCGCCCGUCACACCAUGGAGUGGGUUUUACCAGAAGUAGUUAGCCUAACUGUAAGGAGGAAGGAUUACCACGGUAGGAUUCUGCGACUGUGGUGAAGUCGUAAUGAAGGUAG
rnacentral:rRNA from 1 species